AGAAAGCCCCAGAUUCCAAGUGGCACAGUGCUCUUGUCUGGGUUAGGGCAUCGUGAAGCUGGCAGGGUGGCGUGUCAAGCAGAGGAAAGUACUCUUUAUUUAUUUAUUUAUUUAUUUUCCUUUCUUUUUUUAAGCUUACGGGUAUUUGCAAACAGGGCCACGUUUUCAUGGAACCAACUAUCAGAUCUACAUGGAAAAAUGGCAUAAGGAGAGCUGCUGAAAAAGCAGUGAAGUCUUUUUGGUUUUGACAGUGCCACCCAACUGUGAAACCUGUUCCCGUCGCUCCAGACACAUGCAGAGAGGAAAAGGUCAACGCUCCAAGCUGGAACACGGUUUCAGUGAUGGACGGUUGGGUUGUUUCCAGCUUUUGACUGCUGUGAACAGUGUUGCUGUGAACAUUCAUGUAGCAGACCAUUUCCAAGCCGACUGUCCGAAGACUUUCAUCUCAAAACCUCCCGUGGGCAAACGUGAACACAAGGCAACUUGGCAGGCCUUCUGCUGCGCUUCUAAACUCUGGGCAAAUGGAAGAAACAUGCUUAAAUCUAAACUUCAGCAGUGAAAAGGCUAAUAGUGUCAUCUUUGAUAUUGUCACUGUUGGGCUUCCAGACCAAUCCUCAUCAAAACAGAGACCCAACUCGGUGUUGAGUCUUAAGCUGUCAAGGAAAAAAUCUUGGUUCCCUUGAAUUCUUUUUUAAUCAAACGUUUUGGGCUUCAGAUUCAGUAUAAAGCAAACCUGAUCACAAUAGGCUCCUCGAGGGGGCAAACAGCAAUCUCAUCUCAGAACACAGGCCUGCCAGACGAGGUCCCAGUGCAUCAGCCAACCACAGAGCACAAAACCCAUGCUGAUUAAAAAGAACUUGGCAUAAGGCACAGUGUCAUGUCAAGUACUCUUCACUGUAUACAUAAUACAGUCAGUCAGAUGAACACCCUCAUACUGUGUUCCCUGUAAGAUGCAAAGAAAAUAAAAAUGACGAUUCCAAAUUGUACAGGUCCUUGGGGUGGAACACAGAAAGGCAGAGUGUGAUAAGCAUAAAUUCCCCUGCUGAACAAUAGCAAGCCUUCCUUCUCACGGUCUGCAUUACCACCCAUAGUUAAUUUUUUUUUUCUUUUGUUUUCUCCAAUCAAGACUCUCAAUUCAGGAUAUACAAAUGGGGGUGGGGGAGGGACUUCUCUAAGAAGGAUUCAUUUCGAACAUUUAAGUUUCACCAAAGACAGGGAAAAGGUAAGAGGAAAACAUAUUUUCCACCUCUUCUUCCAUCCCCACCCCCCUCCUUCCAAGGUACUUUGUUCUAACUCGGAUCAGGAAAAUUUUUCAGGAAAAAGUCAUUUAAUAAAUUUAGUGGGCCUGCUAUAUAAGUAUUAUAUCAACUAUGCCAAUGCAGCACAAACGUAGCCACAGAAAAAGCCCUAACUAAUGAGCUGUGUUCCAAUAAAACUUUAUGGACACACUCUUAAA